UGCGUAGGCGGCGCGGAAAGUUGGGUGUGAAAUCCCUCGGCUUAACCGAGGAAUGGCGCUCGAAACUACCGUGCUUGAGGAAGACAGAGGUGAGCGGAACUUAGGGUGGAGCGGUGAAAUGCGUUGAUAUCCUAAGGAACACCGGUGGCGAAAGCGGCUCACUGGGUCUUUUCUGACGCUGAGGCACGAAAGCCAGGGUAGAGGAAC
rnacentral:rRNA from 1 species